rnacentral:rRNA from 1 species
AACGAACGCUGGCGGCGUGCCUAACACAUGCAAGUCGUACGAGAAAAUCCGCUUCGGCGGGUGAGUAGAGUGGCGCACGGGUGAGUAACGCGUGGAUAAUCUGCCUUUAAGCUGGGAAUAACUCACCGAAAGGUGGGCUAAUACCCGAUAAUGCUAUUGAGCUUCGGUUUUAUAGCCAAAGAGAGCCUCUACAUGUAAGCCCUCACUUAAAGAUGAGUCCGCGUACCAUUAGCUAGUUGGUAGGGUAAUGGCCUACCAAGGCGACGAUGGUUAGCUGGUCUGAGAGGAUGAUCAGCCACACUGGAACUGAGACACGGUCCAGACUCCUACGGGUGGCAG